rnacentral:rRNA from 1 species
AUUGAACGCUGGCGGCGUGCCUAAUACAUGCAAGUAGGACGCAGUUGCGAACGGGUGAGUAACGCGUAGGUAACUGCUUAUUAGAGGGGGAUAACUAUUGGAAACGAUAGCUAAUACCGCAUACUAGUAGAUGGAUCUGCGUUGUUUUAGCUAGUAGGUAGGGUAAUGGCAUACCUAGGCGACGAUACAUAGCCGACCUGGGAGGGUGAUCGGCCACACUGGGACUGGGACACGGCCCAGAUUCCCACGGGAGGCAGCAGUAGGGAAUCUUCGGCAAUGGGGGGAACCCUGACCGAGCAACGCCGCGUGAGUGAAGAAGGUUUUCGGAGCGUAAAGCGCUGUUGUUAAGGAAGCGGUACUUAACCAGAAAGGGACGGCUAACUACGUGCCAGCAGCCGCGGUAAUAC